ensembl:lncRNA
AACCAGCCCAGCCAGUGAGGAGCCGCUGCGGCCCUGAACUGUGACCUUCCCCCCCUGGAUUUUCCUUUAGAACAGCCCCUCCCUACUCCCCCUUUUUGUCUGUAAAGGCAGCUCCCCUCCUGUGUUUGCUGGGUUGCCUGUGAUUUCCCAUGGCACGCACAUCUCGAAUUGCAAUUCUUUGGGCUAUUCCUGAAUAAUCUCAUUUUGAGAUAAAAUCACGGGCAAAUUAGCUUUUAAAAUUUUAAUUAUUUCUUAAAAUAAGUGUUGGAGCUAUUUUAAUUUUCCAGCUGCUGCACGUUAGCCACAGGUUAGAUUUUAUUUUAUUUUUAUUGUAUUUGCUGGGAAAGAUUUUCCCCGGGCUAAUGUCUCUUGCCAAUUUUCCUCUCUCUUUUUUUUCCUCCCCAGAGGCUGAUCUAUAGUUGUGGCUGAUUUCUUACAGUAAUUCAUGGUCUCAGAAUGGAGGAGGGUGCAACGCUCUGUUGGGGUAGAACACAUAGCAAUUUCUUAAGACAUCACUGUCUCCCCCCUGGUUAUGUCCAUAGUAUGGAAAGUGGGAACAUUAACAAAUCUCAAGGGCCCUCCAAUUUGUUCUAUAAGGUAUGUGAUCCAUGUACACAGAGAACAGAUAUUUAUUCUAUAAGGCGCAUGAAACAUUUACACAAAGAACACUUUACGUAUGCAGAAUUGGUCUAGGGAAGGCUGAGCUUCUGAUGUGAUUUGAUAACUCUCCAGAUGCAGCUCUUACAGCAGGGUUGAGCUAAUUAAGAAACAGGGAACAUGCCAAACCUAAAUAUUUUUAUUAUCCCUCCUUUUAUAAAAGGAUACAGAAAACAUUUUUGUGAUUCCUAUGGGCCCUCUGAGAAAUCUCAAAAAGGCUUUGGAUUAAAAGGGAUUUUAAGACAUUACUCUCUGAAUUUAUUACGUGGUCUUGGCAUGGCGUACUGGGUAGAAUACUACACCCACCCUGAAGAGAUGGACACGUCCGCACCACCAGAUGUUGUGACUCUGUUACCCUAUAUGGCAAAAGGGACUUUGCAAAUAUGAUUAAGUUAGGGAUCUUGAGUUGGGAAGAUUAUCCUGGACUAUGGGAGUGGGCCCGAUGUCGUCACAAAGUUUAUCAAAGGAAGAGAGGGAGCAAGGGAGUCAGAGACAGACGCAGAGAAAUGCUGAUGGAAGCAGAGUAUGGAGUGAUGCAGGACGAUGAGCCAAGCGAUUCGAGCAGCUCCUAAAAGCCGGAAAAGGCAAGGACGUGACUUCUUCGCUGGAACCUCCAGAAGGCAAACAGUGCUCCUGACACCUUGAUUUUAGCCCAGUGAGAUCCCCUUUGGACUUCUGACCUCCAGAACUGUAAGAGGAUGAAUUCGUGUCGUGUUAAGCCACAUAGUUUGUGGUGAUUUCUUACUGCAGCAACAGGGAAUCAGACAGACUGGAAAAUCUAAAGAACCAGCAUAAAUCUAAAGAACUUGAUCACUUGUCAAGAGAUGAGCACGGGAGUCGGAGACCAAUGAAUGGAUGUAGCUUAACUUCCUAUUAGUCAGAAUUGCAGUUCAAUAUUUUAAAUAAACAUACACGGUAACAUAAUUGUCUU